GAGUUUGAUCCUGGCUCAGAACGUACGCUGGCGGCACGCCUAACACAUGCAAGUCGAACGAAGUAGCAAUACUUAGUGGCAGACGGGUGAGUAACAUGUAGGUAUCUUCCCUUUGGCCCGGAAUAACACGAGGAAACUUGUGCUAAUACCAGAUAAGUCUUUACGGAGAAAGCUUUAUGCACCAUUGGAUGAGCCUGCACUUGAUUAGUUUGUUGGUAGGGUAAUGGCCUACCAAGACUAUGAUCAAUAGCUGAUUUGAGAGGAUGAUCAGCCACAUUGGGACUGAGACACGGCCCAAACUCCUACGGGAGGCAGCAGUGGGGAAUAUUGCACAAUGGAGGAAACUCUGAUGCAGCGAUGCCGCGUGAGUGAAGAAGGCCCUUGGGUUGUAAAGCUCUUUCGUCGGGGAAGAAAAUGACUGUACCCGAAUAAGAAGGUCCGGCUAACUUCGUGCCAGCAGCCGCGGUAAUACGAAGGGACCUAGCGUAGUUCGGAAUUACUGGGCUUAAAGAGUUCGUAGGUGGUUGAAAAAGUUGGUGGUGAAAUCCCAGAGCUUAACUCUGGAACUGCCAUCAAAACUUUUCAGCUAGAGUUUGAUAGAGGAAAGCAGAAUUUCUAGUGUAGAGGUGAAAUUCGUAGAUAUUAGAAAGAAUACCAAUUGCGAAAGGCAGCUUUCUGGAUCAUUACUGACACUGAGGAACGAAAGCAUGGGUAGCGAAGAGGAUUAGAUACCCUCGUAGUCCAUGCCGUAAACGAUGUGUGUUAGACGUUUGGAAAUUUAUUUUUCAGUGUCGCAGCGAAAGCGAUAAACACACCGCCUGGGGGAGUACGGACCGCAAGGUUAAAACUCAAAUGAAUUGACGGGGACCCGCACAAGUAGUGGAGCAUGUGGUUUAAUUUCGAAGAUACGCGCAGAACCUUACCAACACUUGACAUGUUCGUCGCGACUUUAAGAGAUUAAAGUUUUCGGUUCGGCCGGACGAAACACAGGUGCUGCAUGGCUGUCGUCAGCUCGUGUCGUGAGAUGUUGGGUUAAGUCCCGCAACGAGCGCAACCCUCACUUUUAGUUGCCAUCAUUAAGUUGGGCACUCUGAAAGAACUGCCAGUGAUAAGCUGGAGGAAGGUGGGGAUGACGUCAAGUCCUCAUGGCCCUUACGUGUUGGGCUACACACGUGCUACAAUGGUAUCUACAACAGGAAGCAAGACGGCGACGUCAAGCAAAUCCUUAAAAGAUACCUCAGUUCGGAUUGCACUCUGCAACUCGAGUGCAUGAAGCUGGAAUUACUAGUAAUCGUGGAUCAGCGUGCCACGGUGAAUGCGUUCCCGGGUCUUGUACACACCGCCCGUCACACCAUGGGAGUUGGUUCUACCUUAAGGCAAGGUUUUAAACCCUUGACCACGGUAUAGUCAGCGACUGGGGUGAAGUCGUAACAAGGUAACCGUA
rnacentral:rRNA from 1 species